GAUACCUUACAGAUACAUCUGAAUAACGAAUUAGUAUAAAUACUAUUAAGAUCUUUAAACACAACAUCAGUGAUCUACAGUUAUUACAUCGAUACACAUCGAGUUUUUCACUAGUUGAGUUACCUUAAAUUCACAUCCAAACACCAUCAUGUACAAGUUAUUGUUAUUGGUUGCCGCCGCCCUGGCUUUGGUCGCUGUUGCUUCUUCUCAAGUCCUACUCUACCCUCAAACAUACGCACCGGUAUAUACUUACCCGUCGUACCACUACACUUAUCCAGUGUCUUACAAUCCAUACAUCACUCUUCUCCGUCGAUGAAUACAUUUUCUACCAACUUUAAAACUAUCUGAAGUUAUUUUGCAGUUAUUCAACACCAAUUUAACGAAAAUGAUGACAACGUAAAAUGUUAUUUGUAAUUUGCUAUUUUUUUCACAAUUUUUUAAUAUUCAUGUAAUUAUGUAAUAGAUUUUAAAUUAUUUUUUGUAAAACCAUUUAAUUGAAUAUACCAUAAUUUAUUGAAA